UACGUAGGGCGCAAGCGUUGUCCGGAAUUAUUGGGCGUAAAGAGCUCGUAGGCGGUUUGUCGCGUCUGCUGUGAAAACCUCAGGCUCAACCUGGGGCUUGCAGUGGGUACGGGCAGACUAGAGUGCGGUAGGGGUGACUGGAAUUCCUGGUGUAGCGGUGGAAUGCGCAGAUAUCAGGAGGAACACCGAUGGCGAAGGCAGGUCACUGGGCCGCAACUGACGCUGAGGAGCGAAGGCAUGGGGAGCGAACAGG
rnacentral:rRNA from 1 species